AUGGCAUACCACUCUGAACGUGCCCGAUCUCAUCUGAUCCCAGAAGCUAAGCAGGCUCAGGCCUGGUUAGUGCUUGGAUGGGAGUUAAAAACCUCCCAAGCACAGAGCCAUU
rnacentral:rRNA from 1 species